rnacentral:lncRNA from 1 species
AUUUCGACAUUAAUCCAACAUUGAAUGUUGGUUGAAAUUGCGUCGCGAUAUUAUCAACCUAAAUUCAAUGUCUAGCCAACGUCGGUUUUGUAACGUUGUUUCAACGUCCAUAUUUCGACAUUAAUCCAACGUUAAAUGUUGGUUGAAAUUGCGUCGCGAUAUUAUUAACCAAAACUCAAUGUCUAUUCAACGUCGGUUUGGUAACGUUGUUCCAACGUACAUAUUUCGACAUUAAUCUAACGUUGGAUAAAUGUUAAAAUUGCGUCGCGAUAUUAACAACCUAAAAUUAACGUCUCUCUGACGUCGGUUUGGUAACGUUGUUCCAACGUACAGAUUUCGACAUUAAUCUGACGUCGAAUAAAAGUUUAAAUUGCGUCACGAUAUUGACAACCGAAAUUCCAUGUCUAUUCAACGUCAGUUUGGUAACGUUGUUCCAACGUACAGAUUUCAACAUUAAUCUGACGUUGAAUAUGCGUUUAAAUUGCGUCACGAUAUUAACAAUGUUAAAUUCAAUGUCUAUCAAUCGUCAGUUUUGUAAUUGUUCCAACGUAUUUUGACAUUAUUCUGAUGUUGGAUAAAUGCUUAAAAUUGCGUCGUGAUAACGACCUAAAUGUACCAACGUCGGUUUGGUAAACUUUGUUUAACAUACGGAUUUUAAUUAGUCCAAAGUUGAAAAAAUGUCGAAAUUAAGUGCGUCGCAAUCAAACAUAUUGCAUUGCUUUGAAAUUGAGUAUCCUCGCGGUUACUUCAACGUCAGUCCUGCUGUAUCAAUUAACGUAUAAUUUUAACUAUCAAAGUGCAAAAUAUUAUGUCAAGAAAUAUAAACAAAAUAGCCGACUUAAUUGAACUUUGUGGCCUUUUUUAUGAAAACAUAUUAUUUGUCAGCACGCCAAAGCUGUGACGCUAGCCAAUCACACGGCGCGUAAUUUGUUCUACAUUCCAAGGUUGUGACGCUGGCCAAUCAGUUUUCAUGUACUCUCUUUGAAUCACGAUAUGGCGCGCAAGCAUAUGACCGUUACAUAUUUCGACAUCAUACUGCAGUUGUGUGGACGUGUAGCGUGCAGCCGACAUCAUUUUACUCAAAUAACAGAAGAGUUUACAAGACCUCACAGAUGACGAAACCCCACUCAGCAAUGAUUCAUACAGGAAUUGAGGAGGAGCCAAAGUCAGCAUGGAUUGUCGAACCAGUAUGGAGGAGUUAUGUAUGACUUUCGAAGAUGCUUCAGUUUGAAAUCUUUCGGACAGUACUCGCAGUGCCGUAGCUGGUGCAUGACCAAGUGAUUGAAGACAGUUCAACAAUGAUGGGCAGAGUGGAACUGAAAAAAAGCAGAUGAGGAGACGGACCUUUUCAGUUUCGCAGCGAGGUCUAGUAACUUCGUAAUCGGGCAAGGUGAUGGAUGUUGCUGCUUGUUGAGUUUUUCAUCUCCUGUCAAGUUUGCGCCUGAAAGAAGAGGUGAUGGAGGGACACACUGAGGGCCCAUGCACCUUCACAUUCAGUCGUACCUUUGGACUGUGUUAAAUAUUUCAAUAUUGGAACAGUUGAUUAAUAGUAAUUGUU